rnacentral:rRNA from 1 species
UACGGAGGGUGCGAGCGUUGUCCGGAAUCACUGGGCGUAAAGGGCGCGUAGGCGGCCUCCGGCAGUCUGUGGUGAAAGCCCCAGGGCUCAACUGCUGGGUCGGCCACGGGAUACUCCGGGGCUGGAGCACACUAGAGGCGGAUGGAAUUCCGGGUGUAGCGGUGGAAUGCGUAGAGAUCCGGAAGAACACCGGUGGCGAAGGGCGGUCCGCUGGGGUGUUGCUGACGGCUGAGGCGCGACAGCGGUGGGGAGCAAAC